rnacentral:snRNA from 1 species
AAAAAUCCGCGUCGGGGUGU